UUGCUUUUUCUUUUUUUAGAGGAUUUAAAUGCGACUGUUUUGCGGAAUGGACAGCGGAGUCUGACGGAAAAGGAUUGCAUCUCUCUUCAGAUCAAGUCCUCAGACUGAGUUCCUCCAUUUCCUCGCUGCUUCUCAAGACCAAACCAUUUCACUGCUGAAUGUUAAAGAAUCUUGUAUUAAAAGCCACGAGCCAAUCUUGGAUGCAACUAUCAGCUUUGUCAACGCCAUUAACGCUUGUACUGGUGAAGGUGAAAGAGGACAGUUCCCUUAUCACUGCUGAGCGCACCGCCCUGUCUCCUCCUGCUCCUGGUUCUCCAUCGUUCCCUCGUUCUUCUGCUCUAUCUCCACCUACAGCAGAACACAACAAGUGAGGGAAAUGGAGAUGUAACGACAGACAGCACCCACCAGAGGGCAGUCACAUCCUGCAAAAUGGUAGAGCUGUGUGAACGCUGUACACACUCGACCAGGAUAUGGAUUUGACGUCACUGCAUCCAGAAGCUCAUCCCUCACUGACCCCCUGCUAUCAGAGGACCACCUCCUGCUAGGACACGGCUCGUGUGAUAACACAAAGACCGAGACACUACAGACCCUUUUAUCCCCGACCAAGGCCUUAGAGCAGUGUAAGUGAGUGAGUCUUCCUCAACCGCCACGCAGUUUCUAAAGCCCUCCUGUGAAGACGAGCCGGAAUGGGAGCAGAUGUUUGUGGGCGAGGACUCUAGCCACCUUAAUGACAUGUUUGGAUUGCAGCAGGGAAAACAGCUCUGGCAGCUGAGACAGCAGGGCGCUGGAGGGUGACUGGCCGUCUUUCAGUGACUGUCAAAUGGCUGAUGAUCUUUAGCAGGAAGUGGUUCUUUCCCAAAAGGCACACACAUCACUCAAACGCAGCCAAAUGUGCACCAACUGCAGCACAAACUACACACUGGGUUUGCGUAGAUUCAUCAGUACUUUAGUUGGGUUUAGUUUAGCUCGUUUGUGUAUAUACACACACACACACACGCACACACUUGUUUACUCUGUUUCCACUGGUGUUUAAACAGCAGCUUUAAUAAAGAGCAUGAGUGCAGCCAACCUGAGUGUGCAGAGCAGUAUCAGCAUGUAGUCAUUAAAAACAAGAUCAAGGUGCUGUGAUUGAUUUACACACUCAAAGGUAUUCACGAGGGUGCAGAGAAAGUGUCACGAGCAAGCGCACUUCAUUUCUGCGAGCACCGAGACCUGCACGUCCAAGUUCAUUUUUAAGACUUAGUUUUCUCCCCCCACACAAUCAAACAUUCCCCUUUCUUCUGAAAACACAGACCUUGCUGUAAUUCAAAGAAAAUUUUCCAAAAUGGAGGCGAAGAAAGGGAGAGAUCACAAAUUUAAUUUUAAUGUUAGCUUCAGCUACGCACACGGCCUAAUGUAUGUAGCCUAACAUUAUACAAAUAAACAUGAUAGCCUACAGAUAUACACUCACCAUCUACUUUAAUAGGAACACCUGUACACCUGCUCACUUAUGCAGUUAUCCAAACAUUCAAUCAUGUGGCAGCAGCACAAUGCAUAAAAUCAUUCAGAUAAAGGCCAAGGUCUCCAGGUAAUGUGCACAUCAAACAUCAGAAUGGGGAAAAAGUGACACUUUUCCCCAUUCUGAUGGUUGACGUGAAUAUUAACUGAAACUCUUGGCCUUUUACACCUGAAUGAUUUUAUGCAUUGUGCUGCUGCCACAUGAUUGAAUAACUGCAUAAAUGAGCAGGUGUACAGGUAUUCCUAUUAAAGUGGACAGUGAGUGUAUUUGCCCCUGUACAUAACUUCUCAGCCUACAUUGUUGAAGACAGAAAGUCAAUUAGCCAUAUUAUUAUUAAAAUGAGAAGGGGAAAAGAAGAGCUAUACUUGGAACUCUAUCAUUGUUGUGUGGUUUAGGACAUUUGCUAAUAGCUUUCAAAUGCUUUGUGAUGGUUUCCAGUGAAAAUGUAUAUAAAAUGGUGGCUCAAUUCAACCACAAAACCAUCACAAGCCAUUAGAAAUGUUACUACUGCCAUUAAUAAAUUUUCUUUAAGGGUUCAAAUUUAGUUAAAUUAUUUACAUUUGCAUAAGAGAUUCAAUAUUUCUAAAAUAAUUUGGUGUUUAACUGACGAAUACAGUACUGUGCAGAAGUCUUAGGCACACGCAAAGAAGCUUUGAAAAAUAAUGAAAUUAUAGGAUUUUUUUUUUUAAUGUUUCUACAUUUAAAGAGCAGUAAACAGUAAUAAAUGAAAAAGUCAAUAUUUGGUGUGACGAGCGUAGUAUGCGCAGUUUUAUAAGGAAAUGAGCUGGAAGUGUUACUGAGCAUCUUGCAGAAGCAGCCACAGUUCUUCUGGAGACUUUGACUGUCGACUCGCUUCUUAUUUUUUCGUCUAAAAAAAUCUCUCUUAUGGAAGCUCCUGCUUUCUUUACUGACAUACAAACAUUUUUCUGUAGCAUUUAAUUUUGUGCUGGAAAACUAAUGUUUGGAAUCUAAAAUGUUUUGUUUUAAAAAUCUAUAACAGUUUGUACUAAAAAAAGAAAUAGGGUGCCAAAGACUUUUGCACAGUACUGUACUUUAAACUUACAUUAAUUUGUACAUUCCCACCAUUUUGGGAAAUUUUCAUUGAAGAAAGAGGUCUCCAUUUCCAGAAAAAAAAAGGGAGUCUAUGCCUGAACAUGCAUCGAAUCCCAGCCCCCUAAAAUCAAUUUGACUUGCAAGCAAAGUAUAAACAGUAGGGGAAGGAAAUGCGUGUCUCAGUGCUCGCAGAACUGAAGUGCUCUGACUAGCAACAGUUUCUCUCUCUGCAGGUUCGCGAAUACCUUUGUAUGUGCGCAAUUCAUGCUACCUUGUCCUUGUUUUUAAUGACCACACUUGCUGAUACUGCUUUACACACUCAGGUCAGCCGUUCUCUAUAAAAGAUACUGUUUAAACACCAUGGUAACCCCACACACACAAAUCGAGUACCUCGU